CUGUAAGCCUGCGAAGGUGGCCUGUGAGGGUUGCUGGAGGUAUCAGAAGUGCGAAUGCUGACAUAAGUAACGAUAAAGCGGGUGAAAAGCCCGCUCGCCGGAAGACCAAGGGUUCCUGUCCAACGUUAAUCGGGGCAGGGUGAGUCGACCCCUAAGGCGAGGCCGAAAGGCGUAGUCGAUGGGAAACGGGUUAAUAUUCCCGUACUUGGUGUUACUGCGAAGGGGGGACGGAGAAGGCUAUGUUGGCCGGGCGACGGUUGUCCCGGUUUAAGCGUGUAGGUGUGUGUUCCAGGUAAAUCCGGUUCACUUUAACACUGAGGCGUGACGACGAGGCACUACGGUGCUGAAGCAACAAAUGCCCUGCUUCCAGGAAAAGCCUCUAAGCAUCAGGUAACAUCAAAUCGUACCCCAAACCGACACAGGUGGUCAGGUAGAGAAUACCAAGGCGCUUGAGAGAACUCGGGUGAAGGAACUAGGCAAAAUGGUGCCGUAACUUCGGGAGAAGGCACGCUGACACGUAGGUGAAGUGAUUUACUCAUGGAGCUGAAGUCAGUCGAAGAUACCAGCUGGCUGCAACUGUUUAUUAAAAACACAGCACUGUGCAAACACGAAAGUGGACGUAUACGGUGUGACGCCUGCCCGGUGCCGGAAGGUUAAUUGAUGGGGUCAGCGCAAGCGAAGCUCCUGAUCGAAGCCCCGGUAAACGGCGGCCGUAACUAUAACGGUCCUAAGGUAGCGAAAUUCCUUGUCGGGUAAGUUCCGACCUGCACGAAUGGCGUAAUGAUGGCCAGGCUGUCUCCACCCGAGACUCAGUGAAAUUGAACUCGCUGUGAAGAUGCAGUGUACCCGCGGCAAGACGGAAAGACCCCGUGAACCUUUACUAUAGCUUGACACUGAACAUUGAGCCUUGAUGUGUAGGAUAGGUGGGAGGCUUUGAAGUGUGGACGCCAGUCUGCAUGGAGCCGACCUUGAAAUACCACCCUUUAAUGUUUG
rnacentral:rRNA from 1 species